AUUGAACGCUGGCGGCAGGCUUAACACAUGCAAGUCGAACGAGUGGCGGACGGGUGUGUAAUGCUUGGGAAUCUAGCUUAUGGAGGGGGAUAACUACGGUAAACUGUAGCUAAUACCGCGUACCAUAGGAUGAGCCCAAGUGGGAUUAGGUAGUUGGUGAGGUAAAGGCUCACCAAUCCGCCGAUGUCUAGCUGGUCUGAGAGGAUGACCAGCCACACUGGGACUGAGACACGGCACAGACUCCUACGGGAGGCAGCAGUGGGGAAUAUUGCGCAAUGGGGGCAACCUGACGCAGCCAUGCCGCGUGAAUUAAGAAGGCCUUCGGGUUGUAAAGCACUUUAAGUUGGGAGGCGUUACCAACAGAAUAAGCACCGGCUAACUUCGUGCCAGCAGCCGCGGUAAUUC
rnacentral:rRNA from 1 species